CAUGCAGGCGGUUUGACAAGCCAGAGGUGAAAGUUCGGGGCUUAACCCCGGAAUUGCAUUUGAAACUGUAAUACUUGAGUACUGGAGAGGUAAGUGGAAUUCCUAGUGUAGCGGUGAAAUGCGUAGAUAUUAGGAGGAACACCAGUGGCGAAGGCGACUUACUGGACAGAUACUGACGCUGAGGCGCGAAAGCGUGGGGAGCAAACAGGAUUAGAUACCCGGGUA
rnacentral:rRNA from 1 species